rnacentral:rRNA from 1 species
UACAGAGGGUGCGAGCGUUGUCCGGAAUCACUGGGCGUAAAGGGCGCGUAGGUGGCGCCGCAAGUCCAUGGUGAAAGCUCGAUGCUCAACAUCGAGUCGGCCACCGGAGACUGCGGGGCUCGAGCACUGUAGGGGCAGAUGGAAUUCCGGGUGUAGCGGUGGAAUGCGUAGAGAUCCGGAAGAACACCGGUGGCGAAGGCGACAUACUGGUCCGUUACUGACGCUGAGGCUCGAAAGCGUGGGGAGCAAACAGG